AAUGAAAUUGCUGGGUCAUGUGGUAACUGUAUUUAACUGUUUGAGGAAAUGCCAAACUGUUUUUCAAAGUGACUGCACUAUUUGACAUUUCCACCAGCAAU
rnacentral:pre_miRNA from 1 species